GAAACAAGCUUUGUUGACUUUUCUUCUCUAUGUCCAAAUUCAUGGACAACCCCAAUGUUUCUACUUCCUCCUUUAUACGUGUAAUAUAGAGUAUGUUCCAUUCAAGCUUUUGACUUGACUUCUUCAUAAAAUCAGUCCAGCAAAACUAACUUCUCUUCUUCUUUGCGUGUCAACGAGCAAGCUUGCCAAAUGUUCAAGAAUUUUUCCUCUUUCAUGACUCAGCAUGUAUCAUAAACUCUAUAAAUAGCCAUCAAAAUUUCUGUCAUCUCCAAACUUACAAAUCCAAUUCAAAUUUGAGUAAUCAAAUUAAAAACACCAUUAUUAAAGGUUGGAGCUUUUUACCCCAUUAAUUUUGACUACUCACUUUCUCUCUCCUCUGUUUCGACCCACCGUGGCGCCGCCCUCUGGCCAGCGCUGCCACCACCUGAUGCCGGCGACUUCUUCCGUCGCCGCCUCGUCUCACCGGUGAUCCGUCUUUCCAGCGUGGUUGUCGUAUGUGCUUCAUCGCUGCUUUGAUUUUUCAUUGCUUGCUACUGUAUUUUUCAUCUCCUGACAAAUUGAUGUCAAGUAAAAAGGGGUUGUAAUAUAAGUGGGCCAUGGUAAAAGAGCAUUAGCAGCAAUUCAACAAUUUUUAUGGAGUAGUGGUCUUAGUGGACCGUGAGUUUUGGUCGAAUAAUCACCAUGGGCUUCUAAUUUAGGUGGGCCAUGAGUAAGGAGCAUAAUUAUUGUUGGCUAAGUAAGUAUUUUGACUCAAAUAAUUUAUGUCAAUUGAAGUUGCAUGAUGACUAAUUUAUGCCUAGUUAUGGUUAUUAGGAUUGGGUAAUAAGGUUGGUUACGACAAAUAAGGAAUUGAUGCAAUUGGGAUGUACACCAUGACGAAGUUUAAGGAUUAAGUCGAUCGGAUUUACGAUCGAGGUUCGAUUAAGGAGCUCAAGUUGCUCAAACGAGAGUUAUUACUGGAGUUGGUUAUUUAUUAUGCAGAUAUCGAGAUGAGAAAUUAUUUAUUAUGGAAAUCCUGUUAUUGAGGUUGUUAUAAGAAUAUUGAUUUAUAUUUAUUUUAUGGGAAAGUUGUAUUAUUUAUGGAAUU